AUCCUGGCUCAGAUUGAACGCUGGCGGCAGGCCUAACACAUGCAAGUCGAACGGUAGCACAGAGGAGCUUGCUCCUUGGGUGACGAGUGGCGGACGGGUGAGUAAUGUCUGGGAAACUGCCYGAUGGAGGGGGAUAACUACUGGAAACGGUAGCUAAUACCGCAUAACGUCGCAAGACCAAAGAGGGGGACCUUCGGGCCUCUUGCCAUCGGAUGUGCCCAGAUGGGAUUAGCUAGUAGGUGGGGUAACGGCUCACCUAGGCGACGAUCCCUAGCUGGUCUGAGAGGAUGACCAGCCACACUGGAACUGAGACACGGUCCAGACUCCUACGGGAGGCAGCAGUGGGGAAUAUUGCACAAUGGGCGCAAGCCUGAUGCAGCCAUGCCGCGUGUAUGAAGAAGGCCUUCGGGUUGUAAAGUACUUUCAGCGAGGAGGAAGGYGUUGKGUUAAUAACCGCAGCRAUUGAC
rnacentral:rRNA from 1 species